rnacentral:miRNA from 10 species
UAUUAGGGUGGUGCAAAUGUAAUUGCGGGUUUUGCCAUGUACAAGUAAUGGCAAAACCACAAUUAGUUUUGCACCAACCUAUAGUCAUCUUUCUUUCUCC